UGCUCUUAAACCUAGCCGACUGGCUUUAUCUUUCUCCUAUAUAUUAUAUUGUCAUGAAGCCCUAAUCCUUAAGAGCGCAGUUCAAUAAUGACUGAUAAAAUGGAGCUGCCCACGUCUUGAGCAGUCUCACUCUAGAUCCAUCCCUUACCCCAACAGAAGUUAUCCGCUUCAAACCACAACCAAUUCUCCUUCCAAUGCAAAAGGAAACCCACUAUAGUUCAGGCGAACACGGGCACGGUCACCAGUGUGGUACCUAACCUUUCCACAAGUGUUGAAAUGGAUAGACAUAAAGUAAAUUGCGUGAAGAGAGAGGGUUGUUCCUCUCGUGAAGCAUCAUCUCCUUUAGUGCGGCACAUGUUAAUAUGCCCCCAUUUGGUUCAACUUAAAAGGCCGAUUUAAAUUUGAGUCAGAGUCAGCAAUCAAUUUUAAUUGUAUAAUUUAUUGGAUUCACAACUUUUCAAUCACUACAUUCCAUCAACUUUUAUCAAAAUUUACAAAGAAUCUGAAUUUUAUUUAAACCAAGCAAGGCUAAAUUUGACGGAGGAGCUUCAGCCUAUGCCACUCUCUUCAUUGAUGACAUUUCCUUGGGACAUGCUCCCCCUCUUCAUCACUUGGCUCGGUGGUUAAACUGGUUUACAAAUAAUGUGGCUUAGUUCUCGACUUGGUUAUGGGAAUUACCAGCUGUCCACUUUAGCUUUGUCCGGGGAGAAAGAUCAACUGCUUGAGUCUCAGGUUCUGAGAGUAUGGUGUCUGGGAAGGUUCUCCUAUCUGGUUUGGGAUGUCCAGUCUCGUUUUAUGUUGUGUCUGGUUAGGUGAGACACGGGUCGACAGAUGGUCCAUUGGCUGUUUGUUGUGCUGCCCUGGAGUAGCUCUUCAGUCUUUUUUUGGUGGCUAAGUCAGUGCAUAGGUUGCCAAGGUGGAGCUUGGUUGGUCAACUUCCAUGUCUAAUCUGUCUUGUUUCUCAUCUUACUUGUCCUCUGCAAAGUGUGCACAAUUGACAUUAGAGGUUUCUAAUUGGUAUGUUCACUUCUGCAUUUAUAGAAGUACUUGAGUGUUAGGAUGCAAUGUUAUUUUGUUUGGCAUCUAUUAGUUAACAUGAGAAUUUAGUACAUUAUAUCAGUGAGGUAGUGCAGUUAACAAUUGGUUGCGGUGAUGAGAUACAGAAUUUGUUGAAAGCACAUUGUGCUUGAUGUAAUAUCGACUUUUGAUGUCGAUCCUGAGCGGUUACCUGAGCAACCUGUAGUUUCUAAUAUCAUUGGUGUUCCAAUAUUCUGUCAUAGAACCAGGUAAAAAAUUUGGUCAUUUUACUACGAUCUAAUAUCUAAUAAUCUAUAUAAACACUCACAAUGUCUUCUUAUGUCUGGGUAAUUUGAUAAUUUCCAGCAUCAUAAUAUCCUUGACUAUUUUCAAGAGUUCAACAACAUGCGUCUUUAUGUCAAUUUCAAGUUC